rnacentral:lncRNA from 10 species
AAAAGCUAUCAUUCCGUCACGCCUCCAAGGAGUGUCUCUCUCUGCAAAGUAGUCACUUUAGAAAGCCAUGGUACAUGGUACAGUUCACUGGAAUUGUUCAAAACAUGUCAAGGCUUAGAACACAUGCUUUUGGUUAUCUCCAAAGGUGAGGAGCUCCCAAAUCUGGGGACGGAUUAUAUUUUGGAAUUUCGAUGUUUAUGAACCAUAUGGGGAUCAACCUGGAAAAAGCUUGAUCCAAAACCAGGUAUAAAGCAGUGCUUCCAAAACGUGGUCUGAGGACAGCCUGUGUCAGGGGCACUCGGGUGCUUGUUACAAAGCAAAUGUGCAACAGACCCAGAUUGAGGGACCUUCUACAAAAUAACUGACCAGUACUCUUCAAGAUUGCCAAGGUCAUGAAAGGCUAAGAAAGACGGAGGAACCAUCACAGAUGGGAGGACACUACAGAGACAUGACUGUGAAUGCAAUGUGGGGUCCUGGCUUCCACCUGAGAACAGGAAAAGGACAUAGCAGAAGAGCUGAGGGAAUCCAGAUAAAACCUGGAGUUCAGUCACUAGUAUUGCAUCCAUGAACCAGAGAAAGUGGAGAGGAAAAGAAGAAGCACUUCUAUAUGCAGCUUAAACUUUAAAGAUCAUAUUAUUCAAGACACAGCUUUAUUGGGGGAAAAAAUAGGGAUAAAACAAAGCCAGAUGAACUUAAUGCGAAUGGGAUGCUUUUAUGGAAUCACCAACGUUUCCAUUGUUCAGCCUGAAUUGCCCAUAUUUUUGUAUUCACUGCAGACAAUGAGUUCUUGUGACAUUCUGGCAUAUAUUAUACUGGGGGAAGAAAACCCAACCUGCUUUAUUUGUUCCAUUUUCUGCUUUUAGAUGUAAUGGAAAUGUUAACAUGCUUAACAUCCGUGGCCUCUCUUCCAGCCUCGCUUCACUUUUCGUAGUUAUCAUGAGUCUUAGUGAGGGUACGCGGUGCUUCCAGACAAGAGGUGGUGCAUGCUAAUGUAAGCUCAAAGCCAGCCUGCUCUAUAUCCUUCACCGUGCAAACUCUCCCUCUCAUUCUUUUAAAGACUUUCACGGCAUAUAGUCUCCAUUAUGAUUAAAAUGAUCUCAACUGUCCUUCAGAAAAGAAUGUAAGGCUUUUGACUACGUGAACCAGUUCAAGGAAAAUCUCCCAGGAGUCCAGGACAUGAAGAUCACAUUGUCGAACCUCUUUUAUAAGCAUUCAAUUCCACCUGGUUUUAUAGCUGCCUCACUCCCCUCUCUGGAUGGGUUUCUCUUACAUUAAUUGAUAACACUAUGUCUAAUUUGAAGUUCACGCCAAAGGUGGGAGUUAUAUAAAUAAA